rnacentral:lncRNA from 1 species
AGCGAUGGGGCGUCGCCAAGGUAGGCUGCGCGGCGUCGGGGAUGAUGUCAUAGCCCGUUCUUAAAGGGAACGCUGGCAGAAGAGAGUGGAAUGGGCAGUUUGUGAGCUCCUGAAAUAAUGUGUUUGCCACGCCCCAGCAUCGCCGACCAAGCUCCUUUGAGAGCUGCUUGUGCUGGAGGAGGCAGGCCCUGGAUAUUUCCCCCAAAGGAUUUCUUAGUUUUGCCUAUUUUUGAACUUUAUGCAAGUGAAACCAUGACAGUCGGCAUCAGGCCUCUCCUGAGGACCCGACCGUCGCAGCUUUUGAGAAAGCAAGCAUGGCAGCCAGUCCCACUGCCAGGGAAGACCCAGAUGAAAGAGCCAAUGUGUCCUGGAAUUCUUCGGAACCAGACUCUUCUCUUGACAGUGUGGACAAACUUCCGGAUGAUGAUCUGCGUUGUGAGCAGCUUCUGUACUUCCUGCAGAAGAACAUCAUCUUGGUUGCCUUCACGGUGGUGGGGAUCUUUGGGGCCAUAGUGCUGUUGGUGUUCGCGCUGACUUCUUGCAUGAAGAGGAGCCAGCCAUUGCAUCCUCCAGCGAACACGAGUUACACUAUUUUUAUAUUGGAUGAAAAGAGUUGGGGGCGAAAGGCUUAGGAAAGUGUAAAAAAAUUGUAGAAAAACACAAACAGUUGAAGUACAAUUCCUGUGUGGGCCACCCAAACCAGGAUCUGAGACAACGAUUCAAGGAUAUUCUCCAUCCAGACAUCAUGGAGAGGCUACUGAGUCUUUGGCUGUGAGGUGUAUUUAUCUUCUCUUCCCAUUCUUUUUUUUUUUUUUUCUCUUCCCAUUCUUUAAUGGAACAAGAAAGAAUGCUUUAGCAUCUAUGUCUGUGGUGACAUGGCACUAAUGAUCAGUGUAAGAGACUUAGGACAAUUAUUUAAAGACAAACCUGACCAACGAUAAUGGAUUUAUUUAUUUAAUAAAGCACUGAUUUAUGUAUUUCUUUAGUUAUGGAUUGCAGAUGCUAAUUGAAUACCUGAUAUGUAUUGUAGCUAAUAUUGUAAGACUGAGGGCCUUACCAAACACUCCGAGGAGCUGACUAUAGUGAAGCACACCCAGGAAUCCCAGUGGUGCCUUCAGAAUGUAAGACCGAGAGCCUUACCAAACGCUCCAAGGAGCUGACUAG